rnacentral:rRNA from 1 species
ACUCCUACGGGAGGCAGCAGUAGGGAAUAUUGGGCAAUGGACGCAAGUCUGACCCAGCCAUGCCGCGUGCAGGAUGAAGGCCUUCUGGGUUGUAAACUGCUUUUAUCUAGGAAGAAAAUACUCUUGCGAGAGGAACUGACGGUACUAGGUGAAUAAGCACCGGCUAACUCCGUGCCAGCAGCCGCGGUAAUACGGAGGGUGCAAGCGUUGUCCGGAUUUAUUGGGUUUAAAGGGUGCGUAGGCGGCUUUAUAAGUCCGUGGUGAAAUCCAACAGCUCAACUGUUGAACUGCCAUGGAUACUGUAAGGCUUGAGUACAGACGAGGUAGGCGGAAUGGAUGGUGUAGCGGUGAAAUGCAUAGAUACCAUCCAGAACACCGAUUGCGUAGGCAGCUUACUAGGCUGUAACUGACGCUGGGGCACGAAAGCGUGGGGAGCGAACAG